GUCCUUGUAGUAUAAGCCAAUACCUCGGUCUUGUAAACCGGAUAAUGGAGAAUCUCACUCCCCAGGACA
rnacentral:tRNA from 1 species